rnacentral:rRNA from 1 species
UUGGAGGGCAAGUCUGGUGCCAGCAGCCGCGGUAAUUCCAGCUCCAAUAGCGUAUAUUAAAGUUGUUGCAGUUAAAAAGCUCGUAGUUGAAUUUCGGGGUUCUUCCGUUGGUCAGGCUAACAAGUCUGUACUAGCGUGUAGAAUCUCUACCUUCUGGAGAACCAUCAUGUUAUUAAUUUAGCGUGGUGGGAAACCAGGACCUUUACCUUGAAAAAAUUAGAGUGUUCAAAGCAGGCUUACGUCUGAAUACAUUAGCAUGGAAUAAUAAAAUAGGACGGUGGUCCUGUUUUGUUGGUUUCUGAAUCACCGUAAUGAUUAAUAGGGAUAGUUGGGGGCAUUAGUAUUCAAUUGUCAGAGGUGAAAUUCUUGGAUUUAUUGAAGACUAACUUCUGCGAAAGCAUUUGCCAAGGAUGUUUUCAUUAAUCAAGAACGAAAGUUAGGGGAUCGAAGACGAUCAGAUACCGUCGUAGUCUUAACCAUAAACUAUGCCGACUAGGGAUCGGACGAUGUUAAAUUUUAUUGACUCGUUCGGCGCCUUACGGGAAAC